GAAAAUCCAUCCUGAACCCUCCUCCCUCAUUUAAGUUUUUUAAAUGCAAAAUUUUGUAAGGUCUCUGAAAGAAUCAUACAGUGUAUCAUUUGCAUCAGCAACACACUUCUCUUAGUUUUAUUAUUGAACUGAGUGUGUUCUUUAGAAAAAAAUGUGAAAAUAAACCUGAAAGUAAUCAUAAGCCAAUAACUUUGAACUUUAAUGUAACUGAAAUUGUUAUAAAUGUUAUCAGUAAUUUGUUAUAAGUAACAUGAAUUUUAUGCAUGAUAUAUCAUGAGUAGUAUGAAUUAAAGUUUAUGAGAAGUUGGGUAGAAAACACAGAAUUAUCAUACUGAAAAGGACUUGUUAAUCAUUUAAUACCUAUCCACCUCCAGAUUUUAUGGGAGCAAAAAUGACUUUUCCAAGGCCUAGGGCUGUAUGGCUUGGUAAGCUGCAAACACUUCAGUAAGCAUCGAAGACAUUUGAGUUCCAUUUUUACCGUCUUAUGAGGGUAGAUCUUCCUACAUGUUUCUACUAGGUGGAAUUAAAUAGUGCCACUGUGCAGCUCUUCUAAUUCAUGCCUUUCUGCUUUCUAUAUUUUAGUCUAAUCCGCCCCCGCUUUAGCAGUCAUUGACCUUCAGGUACUACAAGUAAAUAAGAAGACGCUAAACAAAAGAAAUCACUAAGCUUUCCUUAUCUCACACUGACACAGUGGUGUCAACAAUUCAAGUCUCUCUGAAAAAUAAUGAGUGAGAGCCAGUUAUUCCAAUUACCAAGGAAACG
rnacentral:lncRNA from 1 species